rnacentral:ncRNA from 1 species
AGGGAAUCCGGUGCGAAUCCGGAGCUGACGCGCAGCGGUGAGGGCGACGGGCGGGGCAACGGCCACUGGACGGCGGAGCGGUCCGGGAAGGCGCCCCGUCCGGGUGACCCCGAGUCCGAAGACCU